UACGUAGGGGGCAAGCGUUGUCCGGAAUCAUUGGGCGUAAAGAGCGUGUAGGCGGCCAGAUAAGUCCGCUGUGAAAUCUCGAGGCUCAACUUCGAGCUGUCGGUGGAAACUGUCUGGCUAGAGUCCGGAAGAGGAGAAUGGAAUUCCUGGUGUAGCGGUGAAAUGCGCAGAUAUCAGGAAGAACACCCGUGGCGGAGGCGGUUCUCUGGGACGGUACUGACGCUGAGACGCGAAAGCGUGGGGAGCGAACAGG
rnacentral:rRNA from 1 species